rnacentral:rRNA from 1 species
CGGCACGCCUUAUACAUGCAAGUCGAACGAAGUAGCAAUACUUAGUGGCAGACGGGUGAGUAACAUGUAGGUAUCUUCCCUUUGGUGAGGAAUAACACGAGGAAACUUGUGCUAAUACCUCAUAAGUCUUUACGGAGAAAGCUUUAUGCGCCGAAGGAUGAGCCUGCACUUGAUUAGUUUGUUGGUGGGGUAAUGGCCUACCAAGACUUUGAUCUAUAGCUGAUCUGAGAGGAUGAUCAGCCACAUUGGGACUGAGACACGGCCCAAACUCCUACGGGAGGCAGCAGUAGGGAAUAUUGCACAAUGGAGGAAACUCUGAUGCAGCGAUGCCGCGUGAGUGAAGAAGGCCUUUGGGUUGUAAAGCUCUUUCGUCGGGGAAGAAAAUGACUGUACCCGAAUAAGAAGGUCCGGCUAACUUCGUGCCAGCAGCCGCGGUAAUACGAAGGGACCUAGCGUAGUUCGGAAUUACUGGGCUUAAAGAGUUCGUAGGUGGUUAAAAAAGUUGGUGGUGAAAUCCCAGAGCUUAACUCUGGAACUGCCAUCAAAACUUUUUAGCUAGAGUAUGAUAGAGGAAAGCAGAAUUUCUAGUGUAGAGGUGAAAUUCGUAGAUAUUAGAAAGAAUACCGAUUGCGAAGGCAGCUUUCUGGAUCAUUACUGACGCUGAGGAACGAAAGCAUGGGUAGCGAAGAGGAUUAGAUACCCUCGUAGUCCAUGCCGUAAACGAUGUGUGUUAGACGUUGGAAAUUUAUUUUCAGUGUCGCAGCGAAAGCAUUAAACACACCGCCUGGGGAGUACG